rnacentral:rRNA from 1 species
GAUGAACGCUAGCGGCAGGCUUAACACAUGCAAGUCGAGGGGCAGCACUGGUAGAAAUACCUGGUGGCGACCGGCAAACGGGUGCGGAACACGUACGCAACUUACCCUAAACAGGUGAAUAGCCCUCGGAAACGAGGAUUAAUACACCGUAAACUAUAUUGGUGGCAUCAUUGGUAUAGAAUAGCUGAGGCGGUUUAGGAUGGGCGUGCGUCCCAUUAGCUAGUUGGUAGGGUAAUGGCUUACCAAGGCGACGAUGGGUAACUGGUGUGAGAGCACGACCAGUCACACGGGCACUGAGACACGGGCCCGACUCCUACGGGAGGCAGCAGUGAGGAAUAUUGGUCAAUGGACGCAAGUCUGAACCAGCCAUGCCGCGUGGAGGAUGAAGGUCUUCGGACUGUAAACUUCUGUUAAGUGGGAAAAAAGACUCGUCUUUAAUAGAGGCGAGGGAUGAUUGUACCAUUAGAGAAAGCACUAGCUAACUUCGUGCCAGCAGCCGCCGUAACAC